rnacentral:rRNA from 1 species
UACGUAGGGUGCGAGCGUUGUCCGGAAUUAUUGGGCGUAAAGAGCUCGUAGGCGGUUUGUCGCGUCGACUGUGAAAACCUGGGGCUUAACUCUGGGCCUGCAGUCGAUACGGGCAGACUUGAGUUCGGUAGGGGAGACUGGAAUUCCUGGUGUAGCGGUGAAAUGCGCAGAUAUCGGAAGGAACAUCAGUGGCGAAGGCGACUUUCUGGACAGAUACUGACACUGAGACACGAAAGCGUGGGGAGCAAACAGG